AUGGCACAUAGCCAGAGCUUAGAGCACGCAGGCUCGCUCGAUCGCGGGGCAAAAGGGCCACUAUCAAGAUGGAGACGUGGCGGGGGGCUCCCUAGCCAAAACGUAGAAGUAGCACAGACGGUCUUGAGCAUGCUUCAGCUUGUCAGCAUCCUUGCGCCUCGCCAACGGACUCCACUGCUGCAAGAAGAGGUUGCAUUUAUAGAUGAUGUUAGCCGGGUGCGUUGGGAAGAUACCCUCGAUCGCAAGUUUGUUCCUAGUGAGCCAAAGAGACCAAGCCAGGGCUCCGAUACAGCUCCACAGCAUGCGAUUGUUGCCUCCUGA
rnacentral:rRNA from 1 species